rnacentral:rRNA from 1 species
GAUCAAGUGCCUUAAGGGUAUCCGGUGGAUGCCUUGGCGCUGAGAGGCGAUGAAGGACGUGGUACGCUGCGAUAAGGUUCGGGGAGCCGCGAACAGGCUUUGAUCCGGACAUUUCCGAAUGGGGCAACCCACCUUCGACGACCCUCAUUGCAAGUCCAGGCGGCGGAGCGAUCCGUGGCCUGGGUUUGGAUUGAGUGUCGUCAAUGGAGGUAUUUGAUCCUGAAUUCAUAGGGAUCAAAGGCGAACCCGGGGAAC